rnacentral:rRNA from 1 species
AGGUGGCUUUUGGGCUGUCGCAGAUGGAUGAGCCUGCGUUGGAUUAGCUAGUUGGUGGGGUAAGGGCUUACCAAGGCUACGAUCCAUAGCUGAUUUGAGAGGAUGAUCAGCCACAUUGGGACUGAGACACGGCCCAAACUCCUACGGGAGGCAGCAGUGAGGAAUAUUGGACAAUGGGGGGCAACCCUGAUCCAGCAAUGCCAUGUGUGUGAAGAAGGCCUUAGGGUUGUAAAGCACUUUAGUUGGGGAAGAAAGCUUUGAGGUUAAUAGCCUUGAGGAAGGACGUUACCCAAAGAAUAAGCACCGGCUAACUCCGUGCCAGCAGCCGCGGUAAUACGGGGGGUGCAAGCGUUAAUCGGAAUUACUGGGCGUAAAGGGUCUGUAGGUGGUUUGUUAAGUCAGAUGUGAAAGCCCAGGGCUCAACCUUGGAACUGCAUUUGAUACUGGCAAACUAGAGUACGGUAGAGGAAUGGGGAAUUUCUGGUGUAGCGGUGAAAUGCGUAGAGAUCAGAAGGAACACCAAUGGCGAAGGCAACAUUCUGGACCGAUACUGACACUGAGGGACGAAAGCGUGGGGAUCAAACAGGAUUAGAUACCCUGGUAGUCCAUGCUGUAAACGAUGAGUACUAGCUGUUGGAGUCGGUGUAAAGGCUCUAGUGGCGCAGCUAACGCGAUAAGUACUCCGCCUGGGGACUACGGCCGCAAGGCUAAAACUCAAAGGAAUUGACGGGGACCCGCACAAGCGGUGGAGCAUGUGGUUUAAUUCGAUGCAACGCGAAGAACCUUACCUGGUCUUGACAUCCUGCGAGCUUUCUAGAGAUAGAUUGGUGCCUUCGGGAACGCAGUGACAGGUGCUGCACGGCUGUUGUCAGCUCGUGUUGUGAAAUGUUGGGUUAAGUCCCGCAACGAGCGCAACCCCCUAUUGAUAGUUACCAUCAUUAAGUUGGGUACUCUAUUGAGACUGCCGCUGACAAGGCGGAGGAAGGUGGGGACGACGUCAAGUCAUCAUGGCCCUUACGACCAGGGC